UACGAAGGGGGCUAGCGUUGUUCGGAAUUACUGGGCGUAAAGCGUGCGCAGGCGGUCUUCCAAGUCAGUGGUGAAAGCCCGGAGCUCAACUCCGGAACUGCCAUUGAAACUGUGAGACUCGAGUACGAGAGAGGUGAGUGGAAUUCCCAGUGUAGAGGUGAAAUUCGUAGAUAUUGGGAAGAACACCGGUGGCGAAGGCGGCCUGCUGGGCAGUGGCUGACGCUGAGGCGCGACAGCGUGGGGAGCAAACAGG
rnacentral:rRNA from 1 species